AGGGGAAUCUUGGACAAUGUGCGCAAGCCUGAUCCAGCCAUGCCGCGUGAGUGAUGAAGGCCCUAGGGUUGUAAAGCUCUUUCACCGGUGAAGAUAAUGACGGUAACCGGAGAAGAAGCCCCGGCUAACUUCGUGCCAGCAGCCGCGGUAAUACGAAGGGGGCUAGCGUUGUUCGGAUUUACUGGGCGUAAAGCGCACGUAGGUGGACUUUUAAGUCAGGGGUGAAUUCCCGGGGCUCAACCCCGGAACUGCCUUUGAUACUGGAAGUCUUGAGUAUGGUAGAGGUGAGUGGAAUUCCGAGUGUAGAGGUGAAAUUCGUAGAUAUUCGGAGGAACACCAGUGGCGAAGGCGGCUCACUGGACCAUUACUGACGCUAAGGUGCGAAAGCGUGGAGAGCAAACAGG
rnacentral:rRNA from 1 species